rnacentral:tRNA from 1 species
GGAGAGAUCGCAUAGUCUGGCCUAGUGCGCAACAUUCGAAAUGUUGUGAGUCUUUUUGGCUCCGUGGGUUCGAAUCCCACUCCCUCCG